CAGUCGCCGCGGUAAUACGAAGGGUGCAAGCGUUACUCGGAAUUACUGGGCGUAAAGCGUGCGUAGGUGGUGGUUUAAGUCCGUUGUGAAAGCCCUGGGCUCAACCUGGGAAUUGCAGUGGAUACUGGAUCACUAGAGUGUGGUAGAGGAUAGUGGAAUUUCCGGUGUAGCAGUGAAAUGCGUAGAGAUCGGAAGGAACAUCUGUGGCGAAGGCGACUAUCUGGGCCAACACUGACACUGAGGCACGAAAGCGUGGGGAGCAAACAGGAUUAGAUACCCGUGUAGUCCCUGUCUCUUAUAA
rnacentral:rRNA from 1 species